CAGAUUGUCAUCAUUUAAUUUACAUGAUUAUAUUCCUUAAAAAAGCAAAGGUAAGGAAUAACACCUGAUAAAGAGUAUACAGCAAAAAAAAAAAAAAGAGUAUGCAGCUUAAAAAUAAAAAUUCCAGCAUAAAAACAAUCUGCAUUAGCAUAUUUAAAUAACUUAAAACAUUAUUUCAAAUAAUUAUGUUUUCAAACAUUUGGGACAACAAAAUGGAGUUGCAUACAUGAAACUUACUUGACAAAUGGAAAAGACAUCUGGAGAGGAAAGCUCACUGUUAGUACUCUGAAGUGAUUCUGAUGAUAGAGGGAGAGUUUGGGUGAAAGGCUUUCCUCAGGGUCAUUAACAUUUUGUCUCAUUCUCUUUAAAAUGAUUAUAUAAGAAGUAGAAAAAAUAGCAUUUGUUGCCAAUGGUACUGUGAAAUGGCAAACUUCAGCUGGUGACAGACGGAUCAGGGACAACAAAGGCAUGACUUUUAUCAAUCUUUGAGUUUCUGGGCUCAGGGAUUCUCUGAAGUUAAUUAUUUACAAAGCAAUUCUUAAGGCACCACUCUUAACUUUAUUUU
rnacentral:lncRNA from 1 species